rnacentral:rRNA from 1 species
GACGAACGCUGGCGGCGUGCUUAACACAUGCAAGUCGAGCGGUAAGGCCCUUUCGGGGGUACACGAGCGGCGAACGGGUGAGUAACACGUGGGUGACCUGCCCUCAGCUCUGGGAUAAGCCUGGGAAACUGGGUCUAAUACCGGAUAUGACUCCAUGACGCAUGUUGUGGGGUGGAAAGCCUUGUGCGGCUGAGGAUGGGCCCGCGGCCUAUCAGCUUGUUGGUGGGGUGANGGCCUACCAAGGCGACGACGGGUAGCCGGCCUGAGAGGGCGACCGGCCACACUGGGACUGAGACACGGCCCAGACUCCUACGGGAGGCAGCAGUAGGGAAUAUUGGACAAUGGGGGCAACCCUGAUCCAGCAAUGCCGCGUGAGUGAUGAAGGCCUUAGGGUUGUAAAGCUCUUUUGGCGGGGACGAUGAUGACGGUACCCGCAG